GAAAAAAAGAGAACAAAAUAAAAAAAAGAUUCUUAGGUUAACGAUUAACUGGACUAAACCUUAUUAACCAUUAAUCAUUUUCUAAUAAGCUUAAUUGUUGAGGGGAAAGUUAAUUGUUGACACAAAUUGAAAUUGACUUUUUCUUUCACCAGUAAAUGGAAAAGCAUAAAGAGCAUAAAAAGGGCGUCGCUUAUGUUGAUAGAAAAAUUAAUUUUCUUUAAGAAAAAAAUUUUCUUUUCUUUAUUUUUUUAAUUCUUUGAAUUUGGAUUAAGUUAAUUGUUUGGUAUUUUCUUUGGUGAUUUCAUGGAGUUUGGAAAUUUUUAAUUAUCUCAUGUUGCAAUUGGUUAAUCUUUCUAAAUAAUAAUAAUUCUGUCAUGAUUAUGGUGGUUUCCAUUGACGGUGGUUGGAAAAAUACUUUUAAUGGGAUAUCGGCAAUAGAAUUACUUGUUUUUCUUUGUGUUGGAAAAUGAGUUUUUCUAUAUGUACCAACGGCUCCUUUUUGUUAUAAUCCUAAUUGAAUCUUUUUAAUUAUCUACAUUAAUGCUAAUUUCCAUGUUACUAUUAAUAUAUUUCUCUCCUAGUCACUUAAUCUUUGUAAGAUAAAUGAAUAGAGACAAAGAGAGAGAAUAGUUUUCAAGUAAUAACGAGGCCUCAAACUGUAUGAUCCAUGUGGUGAUUUCAUGGGGCGACACAGAUGAAUUGAUCUGUUAAUUGUAUUGUAUUUGAUUAAUGGAAUGAUGAAAUUACAAUCUACUUACCUGGGUAAUAUUUAACUGUUAUAUCACUACUAUCAACGUUGAUACAGUUUCUUGUCAUAUUGAUACUUUUGCUGUUGGUUAAUCCGGUAAUCACAAAGAUGGAGAAAGUAAGAGAGGAUAAAUUGUAAAAUGCCGGCUAAUUGUGUGGAUUAACAGUUAAAAAUGGACACUGAUGAUAUUCAAUCAAAUGGGAAGAAUUGAUUUGAGCAAUUCAACUUUUGUGAGAAAAAAACUAUUGGACCAAAUAUGAAAUUUGAAUCUGAUUUUUUUUCAAAUUAGAUGAUUGCGGUGAAAGGGAUAACUUAUGGACAAUUCCAGUUUCAUAAAGUUACCGUAAUUCAUUAAUUCUGAAUUAAGAGUAACAAUUUAAAGUACUGUGACUAUUAACUGAGACGAAAAGUUAACUUCUUGAUGUUUUAGAUUCACUUCAGAGCACAAUUCAUUCAACAUGUUUAAAUUCAGCUUUUAAUUAACAGUCUCACUGACAAUUUAACUAAGGAUGGAAUCGUGAUCAUUGAAUUAAUCUGUUAACUGUUGGAUUUCAUCAUGA